UUGAGGCAUGAUGCUUUGAGUCAUCUCAAAGGGCGCACUUGCAGCCUUAAGAACUCAUUCUCCUGCUGUCACACUCGAUGAUGUUCUGUCCUUCCUGAUUUAGCCACUCAUCCCCUGUCACCGCACCAACCCACACAGAAAAAAUCUGAUGACGACUCGUGGGACACUUACCUCAAACAAGACACUGUUCUAGAUCCUAGGGACACCAGCUAAUUGUACAGCUUGCAUCAGCAUAGGAAGAGACAGGAAGGAAGUGAAGGCCAAUGGACCGCAGCAAGAGAACACACACUAACACACCACGCUGCCCAACCCAGGACAGCCGCCAUCUCCCAAGGCCUGAGACCGCAGGUGUGCGUUCCACCACACGCAGCCAUCCUUGAAUCGUUAACAGGCAGAUCACCUGGAUGUGCCCUGAACCCCAGCUCUUUGCCUGUUUCCUGGAAGAUCGGAUUGACACAGAUGGUUCCCAGACAUGACUCUCUCCCUCCGUGGCUUUAGAUAAAUAAAUUAAACUUUCUAAGCUUUA